rnacentral:lncRNA from 1 species
AGGUAUUCUCUUACAAUAGGCUAAUUAUUGUAUCCCCUCUGCUGACCAGAUGUUCUCACAGGGGCUCACUGGUUCACACAGGCACUGCUUUUUUCUUAAGGAUGAGUAGCUGAAGAUGAAGAUAAUAACUGAGGAACCGAGACCUGCUCCAGCAAAACACCUAAGCAUACAAUGAAGUAUUCUUUUGAUCAAGAGCUGAGAUACUUCAAAGAGAGAUGUAUUAUGGCAUCAUGGAGAAAGACCAUGAACAUGACAUUCAGGAUAAAACAAUUCUGUUUACAAAUAAAU